AGCUCCAAUAGCGUAUAUUAAAGUUGUUGCGGUUAAAAAGCUCGUAGUUGGAUUUCUGGAAGAGCGUCCUCCGGCCGACUGACGUUUGGUCCGGAGCGCUCUCCCAUCCUUCUGUUAACCUUUACGGAAUUCACUUUCUGCACUGGGGCUCAGAUAUUUUACCUUGAGAAAAUUAGAGUGUUUCAGGCAGGCUUUCGCCGGAAUACAUUAGCAUGGAAUAAUGGAAAAGGACUUCAACCUCUUCUGUUGGUCUGGGAGGCUGUAGUAAUGAUUAAUAGGGGUAGUUGGGGGCAUUAGUACUUAACUGUCAGAGGUGAAAUUCUCCGAUUCGUUAAAGACUAACUUAUGCGAAAGCAUUUGCCAAGGAUGUUG
rnacentral:rRNA from 1 species